rnacentral:rRNA from 1 species
AUUGCGGCAGCUUACCAUGCAGUCGAGCGGUGAAGGAGAGCUUGCUCUUUGGAUCAGUGGCGAACGGGUGAGUAACACGUGAGCAAUCUGCCCCUGACUCUGGGAUAACAGUUGGAAACAGCUGCUAAUACCGGAUAUGAGACGUGACCGCAUGGUCGACGUUUGGAAAGAAUUUCGGUCAGGGAUGAGCUCGCGGCCUAUCAGCUUGUUGGUGAGGUAAUGGCUCACCAAGGCGUCGACGGGUAGCCGGCCUGAGAGGGUGACCGGCCACACUGGGACUGAGACACGGCCCAGACUCCUACGGGAGGCAGCAGUGGGGAAUAUUGCACAAUGGGCGAAAGCCUGAUGCAGCAACGCCGCGUGAGGGACGACGGCCUUCGGGUUGUAAACCUCUUUUAGCAGGGAAGAAGCGAAAGUGACGGUACCUGCAGAAAAAGCGCCGGCUAACUACGUGCCAGCAGCCGCGGUAAUACGUAGGGCGCAAGCGUUAUCCGGAAUUAUUGGGCGUAAAGAGCUCGUAGGCGGUUUGUCGCGUCUGCUGUGAAAACUGGAGGCUCAACCUCCAGCCUGCAGUGGGUACGGGCAGACUAGAGUGCGGUAGGGGAGAUUGGAAUUCCUGGUGUAGCGGUGGAAUGCGCAGAUAUCAGGAGGAACACCGAUGGCGAAGGCAGAUCUCUGGGCCGUAACUGACGCUGAGGAGCGAAAGGGUGGGGAGCAAACAGGCUUAGAUACCCUGGUAGUCCACCCCGUAAACGUUGGGAACUAGUUGUGGGGUCCAUUCCACGGAUUCCGUGACGCAGCUAACGCAUUUAAGUUCCCCGCCUGGGGAGUACGGCCCGCAAAGGCUAAAACUCAAAGGAAAUUGGAC